CGAAAACCACAGCCCCUCACGUCAGACAGUUUAAAAGCCCCUUAAUAAAUCGGUCUGUGGUCCCUGCCCCGGGUUGGGAGCAGCCAGCCCCUUUCACGUGGCGGCUGUUGGGCUGAUCCAUCCUCUUUUCAUUGUGAUUCACGUCUAAUUUUCCCCUGUGGCUCCAAUUAAGAGUUGUGCCUAUGGAUUUGGCCUCAGAUAAGGGAGUGGUUGCAAGCUCCCUCCACAGCAAUCGGAGAGAGGGCCCCACAGAAACAGACACUUGCAGAACGCUGCCAAUCUAGCGGCAUCGAUUCAACACUGAAACGUAGGGAGAGGAAAAAGAGUCAGUUACACCAGCACAUCGUUGCGGUCCCACGUGGAGGACGGCUGUGAAGCCCAGCAGAAUGAGGAUGCAGGCCUGUAAUAGAACAGAGGUUUCAUCAUCAGAAUAAAUAAGCAUCCUUUUACUCCAUUAUUUUAACUUAAUGAGGUCUCCAAGAAAAGUAUUCCCACAAAUUCAGCACAGUGCUGCAUCCAGAUCUCUCACAAUUUGGAGUACAAGGUUCCUGAACUAUUGAGGUGGCCACUUCAUGGAGAGAUCCUCCUUGUUGCACCCCUGCUAUUCUCUGUCUCUUCCAAUCUAUAUCUUUUGGACAAGCAACCCAGCCCUUAAAGCAAACUCUUCAAUCGCAUGACUCUGGAGGUUGCUGUGAAAAUAAACUGCCAUUUGCUAUUUUUAAAUACUACUACUUUUCAUUAAUAUAGCCCCCUAUAUUCCAGGAUCUCAAAGAAUUUUAAAACCUUACUGAAGUAAGCCUGGUAGGGCUGGUAUUACUGUCCAAUUUCUACUGAUGGGAGAGAGAGCAAAAGACCAGAAAAGAGUCCAACAGAGCUGAAAAGAAAAUCCAUACGACUUCCAGCACCUUCCUCUAACCACUAGCCGAUGCUAUCUGCUCUAAAUAGCAAGUUGAGCUAUUUUUAGAAUAGACAUACUAUGUCACUUUGUUAGUGACAAUAUGUCACUUUGUUCUUCAAAUCCUUAGUCACACGAGUAACAUUACCCACAAGAGUAGAGAAUCCCAUUGAAAUCAGUCAGUGAGAACUAUUCAUAUAGGUAAGAGUUUACAAGAUAUGGCUCUCAUAUCACCAUCAUUGGAUCCACAGCUUAGUACAAAAGUCAAGUAAUACAAAUUGCACAAAUAUAUAUAUAUAUAUAAUGGAGUCACUUUAAGAAGAGGUAAAGCCAGCUAAUUCGAUAAAGCAUAUGCCUUUAAAAUGACAUUGCCAGGAAUAAAAUUAUUUGUAGUUACUUGCACUAAGCCCAGAUCCUCAAAUAUAUUGAAGUGGUAGCCAGCCAUAUGUGUAAGAGCCAUUUAUAAAUUAAUAAAUAGGUAUUAUAAGGUUGUAAGUCAAGGGCCUAUGGGCCUCAGGCCUGUAUGACAAUUCAUUUAGCAUAGAUAAGACCUGGAUAUAAAAUGGCAGUAAUGAUGUGGGUAGUUACUAAGUUAGUUAUUUUUAACCAGUUAGUUUGACCUUAAGUCACAAGGUAAGUAUUACAGUAAACAAAAGUGGUACAUGGUGAGAAAAGGUGAAGUGAGGUACCGAAAAAGCAUUCCCUUGGAAUCUUAGGGAAAGUUUAAAAGGAUGUUGAGCUUAACUGAAACUUACAUGUACUAACUGCAGGUGGCAACUAACCAAUGUAAAUGUUAAUGAGUAUAAUGUAAGUGAUUAAUUGACCUGUCAAAGAUGGGGACCCCAAUAUUAUGAAGGUGUGGUACAAGGAAAGAAAAAGUUGAAAACAUCAUUGAAUGUGCACAAGGUAUGGCAGGUGUUAGUGUAACCCCUUGUAAAAGAUAUUACCCAGCUUAAGGGCAGUGGAACACACUAAUCUGAUGACCACACUCAGAUGGUCUCAGGUAUGCCAGGGGUUCCCUGAAAGGGAUAAUGUGAGUAUGUAAGUGCUGUCCAUUUUGUAUUGGCUCUGUCUCCUUUGCUAUAUUACAGUGUGUGUGAUCUUUUUUGUUUUGCUAAUAAAGUUUAUAACAUUACUAAUCAAAGAAUACAUAAUAGAUUGUUUCUCAUGUGCUCCUCAUUCUACUGACAACUUUACUACUGUGCCUGAUUCAGAGGCAGAACCCUUUCAAGCUACUGCACAGUAUGUAAAAGUAAAUACUCCUUAUGAAUCAGGCAACACAAAUCAAUGUGAGUUGGGCCCCUAAAUUUCUUUGAGGAUCUGGGCCUAACUAAAUAGAAAUGCACACAAGACUACUUAAAGAAUUGCUAUGCCAUCACCUCCUCCAGUACAAGUGGAGAGUUCUGUUAAUAGAGUCUGACUAAGUAGAUAUAAUCUGAGUUUGAAAUUAUAUUAUAUUUAAAAUUAUAGGCCCUUUGAAGCUACCAGAAUACACAUAUUUAAUUAUAAGUUAACUAUACCACAUCAUCUUACAACUGAAAACUUAAAAUGGACCAAAAAUGAGGCAUUUUAUUGGAUUGUAAUAAAACAAGACACUUCUUUACAAGUUAGGUUAGGUAAUUUAUAUAAUUAUAAAAGUGGGUUUACAGUUAAUUUUUGUGAUUGCUCAUUGUAAUAGCAAUUUUUUUUCAUAAAUAUAAAACUGGUUAGAGGACAUGCCUAUCACUCAAAUGUCAUCUUUAAGAAGAAGAACUUUAUUAUACAAUAAUUUUAAUUAUAAAUGUAUACUUAAUUUACCUUUGAAGAAAAACAAUGUUGUUUUACCUAAAGACUCUCAAAGAAAACUGGUGAAAACAUUAACGCUAUUCACCAGACCACCAUUAUAAUAAAUGGCUAUAUUAGAAGGAUGAACAGCAUAAUUCAGGGCUGUCUAAAUACCUGAAAGAUAGACAGACUCUGCCUAUGAAGUACGUUGCAUUUACAGAAUUAAAAGAAUAACCAGAUAAGAGAUUUUUUUUUAAAAAAUAAGAGUGGCUAAUUUAAUUGACUGAAAUGUGUUUGCUAAAUGCAGGGG